rnacentral:rRNA from 1 species
GACGAACGCUGGCGGCGUGCUUAACACAUGCAAGUCGAACGGAAAGGCCUCUUUCGGGGGGUACUCGAGUGGCGAACGGGUGAGUAACACGUGAGUAACCUGCCCUUGACUUUGGGAUAACUUCAGGAAACUGGGGCUAAUACCGGAUAGGAGCUCCUGCUGCAUGGUGGGGGUUGGAAAGUUUCGGCGGUUGGGGAUGGACUCGCGGCUUAUUAGCUUGUUGGUGGGGUAGUGGCUUACCAAGGCUUUGACGGGUAGCCGGCCUGGGAGGGUGACCGGCCACCUUGGGACUGAGAUACGGCCCAGACUCCUACGGGAGGCAGCAGUGGGGAAUAUUGCACAAUGGGUGGAAGCCUGAUGCAGCAACGCCGUGUGCGGGAUGACGGCCUUCGGGUUGUAAACCGCUUUCGCUCAUGACGAAGCUUUGUGUGACGGUAGUGGGUAAAGAAGCACCGGCUAACUACGUG